rnacentral:lncRNA from 1 species
GCUUGUUAUUGUUAUACAGUGGGCAUUCUGCUGAGGACGUCCAUGGCUACGCUAUAUCUUCUCCCAGAGUUUGUGUUUUUAUGCCCAGAUGUAUGAUCCACUGGCGUUUGCUUUCAGCACAGGGUGAGAGAGAUGGGCAGAGUCGAUCUUGCGCACGUGGACCACCAGUUUUCCCAGCGCCCUUUUUCCAUGGCCUGUGUUUUCUCCAGCCUAGGUUAUUGGCUCCUUUGCCCAAGAUCCAGUGGCUGAAGGUUUUUGGGGUUGUUUCUGCACCCUCUAUUCUGUUCCCUGUGUCCAGCUGUCUGUGUGCGUGCAUUGGUACCAUUCUGUCUCUCAUGGUCUGCCCAGGGAGGGAAGUGAGGAAGUCUUCCCAUUCCUUAGGAGACAGUCUGAGUCUCCCGAGGAUGUUCCCCCCGGGUGUCCUGUUGUCUCACUGAGAGAGCCAUUCAUUCACUUCCAUUGGCUCCGGGGUUUGUACUGGGUCUUGAGGUGAGUUCAGGUCAUGACUGUUGUAUGUGUGCUAUGUGUGUUUGUGUUUGCAGGACCUGAAUACACCUGGAACCAAGAGGAAGUGGCGUGGGAGUCCGUUUCCGCCUGGUACCUGGAGGGCGGAGACAGUGCCACCAAUUACCUGGCACACAGUGUAGAUGAAAGUUAUUUGACCUUUUCCACAUGGUGCAACUUCUCAGCGUUCCCCGAGCCUGCCUGGAGUCCGGGCUUCCCAGCUCCAGUACGUCUAGCAAACCUGAAGACUCCAUCCAGAGAGAACACUGGUGAACCUGCUCCUCAGUGGCACAGGACAUGACUGGGCUCCCCUGCUGGCUGGGAGGCUAACAAUGGUAGACCCAGUGCCCUUGGGCCAUUGCAAAAGCAGCUCUACCAUAAGCAAGAGCACUGGUUCUUGGGUAAGUUUUUCUGCUAUUUUUCCUCUUUUUACCCUGUCUAACUUCAAUAAGGACAGAGUCAUGACAUAAUGGCCUAGGGUUCAAUAGAAGUACAAUGUACUAUAGAAUAACUCUUUUCAAAUACCUGCACGUUUCUAUUUUGAAAAAGCUCACGAGGUAGCAUUAACAGCACAUGUAUUUUAAAUACUUCUGUCAGCUUCCUGCUGACCAAUAAUAUCACCAAGAACAACUAGAAAAGGUAGGUAGAACACUACUAAGGUGUGCUUUGUCUUUGUGGAACUAGGGAAUGAACCCCCUGGCCUUUGCAGUGAGCUACAUUCCCAGCCCUUUUAUUUAUUUACUUACCUAUUUAUCUGUCUAUUUAUUUAUUUAUUUUUUUUGGAGACAGAGUCUUCCUGAGUUGCCCAGGCUGGGCGCAAAUUUGCAAUUUUCUUGACACAGUUUCUCCAAGUGUUGAGAUCAUGAGCAUAUAACACCUUGCCUGCAUCUAAGUACCUAUUUUAAAGCACCAGAAACCUAGCAGGGCAUCCAUAGCUUGGGGACCAAAACCCCAGAGAAAAGAAAAACACAGUAAUCAGGAAGAAACCUUCACAUGGUUCUAACUCUUAUGGCAUUUGCCAAAUGAGCAACUCUGAGAAGCUGGACAUUUGUGAAAAAUGUCUACCAUAUGAGCAGAUCACAGGACAAAAAAAGUGGAUGUGGAAUCUAGCAGGGAGAAAGGACUCUACUUUUAGCUGGAACCUGAAAAGGACUAUGUGCUGGGAGCAGGGGAAGCAGGAAAUGGGCACCUUCCAGUUUCUGCAGCUCAGCUGGGCAGUGCUAAACCCAUGGGUAGGUUCAGGUGAUCAGUCUCCACCUGACUUGUUUACUGGAAAGAAAAGCACCAGUGAGACCCUUAAAUGUUUAGGGUUUUUCAUACCGAAUGUCUGACAAUCAAAAAUGAUCAAGCAUAACAGGAAAUAAGGUGGAAUGGCUGAAGGCCAAGAGAAAAACCAGAAAAUACAAACUGACCCACAGAAGAGCUAGAUUUUGGGGAGACCUUGGGCCCAGAGACUAAAUUAUCUGUGGUUAGUAAGUUCAAGAAAUUACAUGAUGUGAUGGAGCAUUCCAGUGAAAGAAUAGAAGCAUAUGUUUUAAAGAUCAGUUCCAGUGCUGAAAAUUUUAAUAACUGAAGCUAAGAACUCAAUAUAUGGACUGAAUAAUGCAUCAGACAGGCGAAAGGGCCAGCAUUCACCUCCGGGAAUGUGAAGGUGCUGUGCUGUGGUGUGCAGGGGUCUUCAGGGAUCCCGGUGAUGUUCCCUUCCUUGAAUCUGGCUCUGUGGCUGUGUUUUCUUUAUAAUUUGCCCUUCCAUUGGUGGACGUGUUAUUUAGGUUCUCUUAUGCAGGUGUGCUGACUGACAGUGCCUGCUCGUUCAAACACGUGACAGCUGGAUAGAGACGUGCUGAGUGAAGUUCCUGCCGACCUUGUUCCAAAUGGCGUAGGCUGUUACGUUGGAGAGGUUGGUGCUACCUUCCCGAGAUGGGGUCUAACAGCCCGCUACGGUCUUCUCAACACUCUUCAACGAGAAGCACCAUUGCUACAUGUGUGAGGUUGACUUUCUCAGGCUGGAAGCAAGACUCAGUUGGCAGUUUCCAGUUCUCACCUGGUCCUGGUUCUUCCACAUUACUGAUCCAGGUGUUUGCCUUCCACACUGCAUUGUGGUAGCCACUCGACCAGUAGGCACAACCUGCUGGACUCCUGCCACCACGUCAUGUGCUCACGGAUGGGGCAGGUGUUUGUAGUGGGCUCUCAGUCACAGCAUGACUCCAUAGCACUUGUGCCUGCUUGCUCUAAACCAAACAAUUAGACAGUUCACAGAGAUUAUUGUGUUUUCCUUACGCUGCUGCCCAUCAGCUUUUCAAAAAUUAUAUUUAGGAGGAUUUAAAAAGAGGGAGGAUUGUGAAGUGCUGUGUACAUGCACUAAGUCCCUGAGAGGAAUGUGAUCAUCAUGCAAUACAAACAUAUCUCUGUGUAUAUAUCUGUCUCCAGGAGAUGCAGAGAGGGAGAGGGAGGGGAGGAAGUGGGUACAAAAAAAAAGAAUUAAGAAAUGUCAUGUACACAUACUAACUCCCCACUACAAACAUGAGCGAAACUAGAUUAUGAACACAAUUUUUAAAACUGACACAUAUUCAAAGUCCACCUGAAAUUUUGCUAACUUUUUUUUUUUUUUUUUUUUUUUUUUGGUACCGGGGAUGGAACUCGGGUUCUUGCAUUUGUGAGGCAGGUGGUAGAAACACUGAGCUAAAUUCCUGGCCCUGCUAAUUUAUUUUUUGUAAUUAUU